UCUAAAACCCUAACGGAGGAAUCAAAUCUCACGAGGAAACAUUCGAAGUCGAGCGACUCUCUCCUAAGAAAUGUAAUCAACAGUGGUUGAUGAUUGGUGAUCGGCAAUCGACAAUGGCUGAUGAUGGCAAUCGACGACCGACAAGCAUCAUCUCCCCUUCGAUGACAUAUCUUAUGCUUAGAAGGGGAGGAGGAACAUGACAUCUCUUACUCCAGGGGUACUAAUAGUGGUUCUGAAGAACUUAACUACUGACAUAAAAAUAUGUAGAGAAUACUGGUCAGUGCUUCUUCAAGUAAUCAACAUUGUGCCUGCUUUGUCUGGCUCGGAGCUUUAGCCAGACCAUGGUUUCUUCAUAAAGAUCUCCGAUCAUUCACAUUCCACAUAUGUUUCAUUAUCUAAAGAUGACAAUGACCUGAGCUUAAUGAACAAGCUUUAGCUUUUGGGCAAUUCAUCUAUAUUUACAAAGAAGAGUUGUGGAUGCCAUCCCAUGGGACUCUCCUCCUGCUAGCCUAAUCAACCCUGGGAAGGGAAUGGUUGAAAGAAAAGAAAUAGCUUUUCUAGUAGCAGCUGAGGCCCAAAUAGAAGCCACUGCAACUGAGACAUUUAGCUGACCCCAUUAUACAAAUAAUAUUCACCUCUCUUAAGGGAGAUUCAGGAAUUAGUUAUCACCCUCAGCACUUUCUUUAGGGUCUCAAUUGAAGGCAGUUUAAUAAGAUCCAUAACUGUUCACUUUUAAAAUGUCAGGAAUGGGAAAUCUUUCUCCUGUUACAUGAAUCAAAUAUUUCAUUUCAAGACUGGUGCAGCAGCAACUGGAAAUGAUGCAAGUUUUAUUUGUUUCUGUUGCAACUAGAAAGACAAUUUUCAACUCUAUGCUGUUUCAGUUGCAUUGCAGCUGUAAAUGUAUAAGAAGAAGAUGAGAAAGGGAAGAUGAAGAUGAGAAAGGGAAGAAAGCCUCCAUAAUCCUUCUCCAACAACAACUGAGAUCAACAAGUAAGGAUUACUCUUCUUUCAACCAACUUAUGAUAGAAUUCUACAACACAGAACCAUCAUAAAAUCAACAACUUUAUCGUCCAACUUCAUCUUUGUCAGAAUCAACUCCUGCCCUUAGCAAAGAAGGGUGUUGUUAGGAUUGGUGAGAGGAGAAAAAAUAAAGAACCAACAACAAGCGUUUUGUUGUGAUCUGUUCAUAUUUCUGGUGCCAGAACUUCUGAGCGAUUAUCGCCCGAGAAUUUUUUUUGUUUUAAUUCUCUAUUUUAAGUACUUUAAAUUCAUGAUAUGAGUAGAUUAAUUCUCCUUUCUAA